rnacentral:rRNA from 1 species
AGAGUUUGAUCCUGGCUCAGAUUGAACGCUGGCGGCAUGCUUUACACAUGCAAGUCGAACGGCAGCAUAGGUGCUUGCACCUGAUGGCGAGUGGCGGACGGGUGAGUAAUGCAUCGGGACGUGUCUGUAAGAGGGGGAUAACUGUUCGAAAGAACAGCUAAUACCGCAUAAUAUCCGAGGAAGAAAGCUGGGGACCUUAGGGCCUGGCGCUUACAGGGCGACCGAUGUCUGAUUAGCUAGUUGGUAGGGUAAAAGCCUACCAAGGCGACGAUCAGUAGCUGGUCUGAGAGGACGACCAGCCACACUGGGACUGAGAAACGGCCCAGACUCCUACGGGAGGCAGCAGUGGGGAAUUUUGGACAAUGGGGGCAACCCUGAUCCAGCAAUGCCGCGUGUCUGAAGAAGGCCUUCGGGUUGUAAAGGACUUUUGUUGGGGAGCAAGGUGCACAGGUUAAGAGCUAGUGUACUUGAGAGUACCCAAAGAAUAAGGACCGGCUAACUACGUGCCAGCAGCCGCGGUAAUACGUAGGGUCCAAGCGUUAAUCGGAAUUACUGGGCGUAAAGAGUGCGCAGGCGGCUUUGUAAGCUUGAUGUGAAAUCCCCGGGCUCAACCUGGGAACUGCAUUGAGGACUGCAAGGCUAGAGUGUAGCAGAGGGGGGUAGAAUUCCACGUGUAGCGGUGAAAUGCGUAGA